rnacentral:piRNA from 1 species
UCCCAGGCUCAUCUUGUUGUUAGGUAAGGGA